rnacentral:misc_RNA from 2 species
UCGGGCCAAGGCUGACCCUCCUUACCAAAGCCUGAUGUAGGUAAUGUGCAGUGUCCACAACAGAUUGUCUGAUGAAAAUAACGAACAAAAAUACCUUAAUAGGUUUGGAUCUCGUGGGGUUAGAGCGCCCCCCUGAAAAGGGAGAGGUCGGUGGUUCAAGUCCACUCAGGCCUACCAAAUUUUUUCCCGUGCUGCUUUGCGAUCCCACUCAUAUACGAGAAUAUCCUUCCGUUCCCCACCCCUCCCCGGAAAAAAAAUUAUCUUCUCUAUGAGGGGCACAAAGGAUGUGAUUAUGUCUUUUUAAGGGUUAUAUAUCACCUGGAAGAGAGCCCGCUUUGCGCACACAUGAUCUGCGGUGUUAUACCGCAUAUCUCCCCCCUAUAAAGACAUCUCAGAGUAUUGUGAAAACGAUGUUGUGAAAAAUUUUGUUCUUUUUCACUCUGGAACAAGCUGUAAUUUUAAACGAUACGGCUAAAAAUAUAUCUCUCCGUACUACUGAGAUAUGAUUUUGCUGUAUCUCAGACUCUCUAAUAAUCUCAGCGCGAAAGAUACUUGAUGAAUCCAACACACCUUCAGGUUGAGAGAUUAAGCGAAUAAGGGUACUCGGUGGACACCUUGGCACACU